AUUGAACGCUGGCGGCAUGCUUUACACAUGCAAGUCGAACGGCAGCGGGGACUUCGGUCCGCCGGCGAGUGGCGAACGGGUGAGUAACGCAUCGGAACGUGCCUAUCAGUGGGGGAUAACGCUUCGAAAGGAGUGCUAAUACCGCAUAUUCUCUGAGGAGGAAAGCAGGGGACCUUCGGGCCUUGCGCUGAUAGAGCGGCCGAUGUCGGAUUAGCUAGUUGGUGAGGUAAAGGCUCACCAAGGCGACGAUCCGUAGCGGGUCUGAGAGGAUGAUCCGCCACACUGGGACUGAGACACGGCCCAGACUCCCACGGGAGGCAGCAGUGGGGAAUUUUGGACAAUGGGCGAAAGCCUGAUCCAGCCAUGCCGCGUGAGUGAAGAAGGCCUUCGGGUUGUAAAGCUCUUUUGUCCGGGAGGAAAUCCUGGCCUCUAAUACAGGUCGGGGAUGACAGUACUGGAAGAAUAAGCACCGGCUAACUACGUGCCAGCCGCCGCGGUAA
rnacentral:rRNA from 1 species